UACGUAGGGUGCAAGCGUUGUCCGGAAUUAUUUGGGCGUAAAGAGCUUGUAGGCGGUUUGUCGCGUCUGCUGUGAAAUUUCGGGGCUCAACCCCGAACUUGCAGUGGGUACGGGCAGACUAGAGUGUGGUAGGGGAGACUGGAAUUCCUGGUGUAGCGGUGAAAUGCGCAGAUAUCAGGAGGAACACCGGUGGCGAAGGCGGGUCUCUGGGCCGAUACUGACGCUGAGGAGCGAAAGCGUGGGGAGCGAACAGG
rnacentral:rRNA from 1 species